rnacentral:rRNA from 1 species
UACGUAGGGGGCUAGCGUUGUCCGGAUUUAUUGGGCGUAAAGAGCGUGUAGGCGGCCAGGUAGGUCCGCUGUGAAAGUCCGAGGCUCAACCUCGGAAUGUCGGCGGAAACCCUCUGGCUAGAGUCCGGAAGAGGAGAGUGGAAUUCCCAGUGUAGCGGUGAAAUGCGUAGAUAUUGGGAGGAACACCAGUGGCGAAGGCGGCUCACUGGACCGGAACUGACGCUGAGGCGCGAAAGCGUGGGGAGCAAACGGG